CAAAGUAGAUAACGACUGAUAAAGGACUUUUAAGGCCGAUAUCGAUACAAAUAAAUGGUGAUUUAAAAAUCUGAUAUUCCAAUAUAUCGGCAGAGAGAUAUAUAUAUAUUUUUUUUUAAAAAGGGUAACAAAAUAUA